GGGUUUGGGGCCUUAGUCAUCUCGUAGUGAUCACGGGCUCCCUCGGCGUCUCCUGUCAGCCCCAGACCUCACCCCUAAACUUUGGACAUUUUCCCCUACGGUGUACCUAACCCCACUCCAACAAUCCCCAGACCCACCACAGUCCUUCCCCCAUUCCGCGGAAGCCACCGGCCGAGAGCCGAGGGCUCCUUUUGCACUGGUGCGGCGAGCGCGGGGUGCAGAGGUAACCCCGCAGUGCUGGGCGUGGGGUUCCCCGAAACGCCGGGCAGACUGCCUGGGAGUGGCCCAGAGCCGGGAGCCGAGGGCUGGGGAGCCUCCGCAGCAGGCCCGCCGCCCCCACACCCCGGAGGAGCGCCGUCCGCAGUGGGGCUGGUUUCCGAGGUCUCUGUGUUGGUUGGUUGAAACAAACAAAAAAAAAAAUGGCCUUCUACAGUUAUAAUUCAUUCUUAGCUAUUUUCUGGACAAGAUUGCCUGGCCAUUCCGUGCACCCUCCCUGCUCUCACUUCCCUCCACUUGCAUUUUUCCACUUGCCAGAUUCUCAUUUGCGUACAGCCUAUAUGAAAAACUGUGGAAGCAGGAAGUACUCCUACCCUGGGCUCACAGGCAACAAUAAAGUCCAUCCC
rnacentral:lncRNA from 1 species